rnacentral:rRNA from 1 species
GUCUGGAAAGGCGCGCGAUACAGGGUGACAGCCCCGUACACAAAAGCGCAUGUGCUGUGAGCUCGAUGAGUAGGGCGGGACACGUGGUAUCCUGUCUGAAUAUGGGGGGACCAUCCUCCAAGGCUAAAUACUCCUGACUGACCGAUAGUGAACCAGUACCGUGAGGGAAAGGCGAAAAGAACCCCGGCGAGGGGAGUGAAAAAGAACCUGAAACCGUGUACGUACAAGCAGUGGGAGCACAGGUUUACCUGUGUGACUGCGUACCUUUUGUAUAAUGGGUCAGCGACUUAUAUUCUGUAGCAAGGUUAACCGUAUAGGGGAGCCGGAGGGAAACCGAGUCUUAACCGGGCGUUAAGUUGCAGGGUAUAGACCCGAAACCCGGUGAUCUAGCCAUGGGCAGGUUGAAGGUUGGGUAACACUAACUGGAGGACCGAACCGACUAAUGUUGAAAAAUUAGCGGAUGACCUGUGGCUGGGGGUGAAAGGCCAAUCAAACCGGGAGAUAGCUGGUUCUCCCCGAAAGCUAUUUAGGUAGCGCCUCGUGAAUUCAUCUCCGGGGGUAGAGCACUGUUUCGGCUAGGGGGCCAUCCCGGCUUACCAACCCGAUGCAAACUGCGAAUACCGGAGAAUGUUAUCACGGGAGACACACGGCGGGUGCUAACGUCCGUCGUGAAGAGGGAAACAACCCAGACCGCCAGCUAAGGUCCCAAAGUCAUGGUUAAGUGGGAAACGAUGUGGGAAGGCCCAGACAGCCAGGAUGUUGGCUUAGAAGCAGCCAUCAUUUAAAGAAAGCGUAAUAGCUCACUGGUCGAGUCGGCCUGCGCGGAAGAUGUAACGGGGCUAAACCAUGCACCGAAGCUGCGGCAGCGACACUCAGGUGUUGUUGGGUAGGGGAGCGUUCUGUAAGCCUGUGAAGGUGGCCUGUGAGGGUUGCUGGAGGUAUCAGAAGUGCGAAUGCUGACAUAAGUAACGAUAAAGCGGGUGAAAAGCCCGCUCGCCGGAAGACCAAGGGUUCCUGUCCAACGUUAAUCGGGGCAGGGUGAGUCGACCCCUAAGGCGAGGCCGAAAGGCGUAGUCGAUGGGAAACGGGUUAAUAUUCCCGUACUUGGUGUUACUGCGAAGGGGGGACGGAGAAGGCUAUGUUGGCCGGGCGACGGUUGUCCCGGUUUAAGCGUGUAGGUGUGUGUUCCAGGUAAAUCCGGUUCACUUUAACACUGAGGCGUGACGACGAGGCACUACGGUGCUGAAGCAACAAAUGCCCUGCUUCCAGGAAAAGCCUCUAAGCAUCAGGUAACAUCAAAUCGUACCCCAAACCGACACAGGUGGUCAGGUAGAGAAUACCAAGGCGCUUGAGAGAACUCGGGUGAAGGAACUAGGCAAAAUGGUGCCGUAACUUCGGGAGAAGGCACGCUGACACGUAGGUGAAGUGAUUUACUCAUGGAGCUGAAGUCAGUCGAAGAUACCAGCUGGCUGCAACUGUUUAUUAAAAACACAGCACUGUGCAAACACGAAAGUGGACGUAUACGGUGUGACGCCUGCCCGGUGCCGGAAGGUUAAUUGAUGGGGUCAGCGCAAGCGAAGCUCCUGA